UACGUAGGGACCAAGCGUUGUUCGGAUUUACUGGGCGUAAAGGGCGCGUAGGCGGCGUGGUAAGUCACUUGUGAAAUCUCUGAGCUUAACUCAGAACGGUCAAGUGAUACUGAUGUGCUAGAGUGCAGAAGGGGCAACCGGAAUUCUUGGUGUAGCGGUGAAAUGCGUAGAUAUCAAGAGGAACACCUGAGGUGAAGACGGGUUGCUGGGCUGACACUGACGCUGAGGCGCGAAAGCUAGGGUAGCAAACGGG
rnacentral:rRNA from 1 species